rnacentral:rRNA from 1 species
CGGAGGGUGCUAAGCGUUAUCCGGAUUCACUGGGUUUAAAGGGUGCGUAGGUGGGCUAGUAAGUCCGUGGUGAAAUCCCUGAGCUUAACUUGGGAACUGCCAUUGAUACUAUUAGUCUUGAAUAUCGUGGAGGUAAGCGGAAUAUGUCAUGUAGCGGUGAAAUGCUUAGAUAUGACAUAGAACACCAAUUGCGAAGGCAGCUUGCUACACGGUCAUUGACACUGAGGCACGAAAGCGUGGGGAGCAAACAGGAUUAGAUACCCUGGUAGUCCACGCCCUAAACUAUGGAUACUCGACAUCAGCGAUACACUGUUGGUGUCUGAGCGAAAGCAUUAAGUAUCCCACCUGGGAAGUACGAUCGCAAGAUUG